rnacentral:lncRNA from 1 species
AUGCAGAUGACGAAAUCCACACAGACGUCUGUGUAUAAAGUUGCAGUGAGGAGGGAAGUCCUUCUCUUAACUCUGGAGUAGAUCUCUCAGAACCUAAACUUUCAGGAUAAUCCAUUAAUAUGGACAUUCGCCCUGGCAAAUGGAAAGCCAUCUUUGUCCUGUGUACAUUAUUCAUUUACCAGGUAAGCCAAAAAAAUAAUAAUUUACUCUGUAUGGGAUUUUGCAUUCCUCAUUGCACAUGACUGAAUGUAGCAUGAUGGAGGUCAUGUGAUACAUUGGAAGUCUCCAAGAUGCCACUGUGUUUGCAGUGCUGGGUCAAAAGGGAACAAGGGUUGGGCAAAUAGGAAUAGACUGUAGGAUAGAUAGAGCAUUCAGCAUUAAGUUCACAUGGAAAUUAUUUUAACUUGAAGUCAAUGUCUGAGCCUGUGAAGUUCACAGUUUAUCCACAUUCAUUAUCUCUUGAAACAGAGCAGGGCUUUUCAAAAUAUCACUAAGUAACUACAAAAGACAGGAAUUGUUCUCAAUAUCUAUUAACAGGUUUAUAGAUAGACUCAAGGCACCAAUGCAUGUUAGACACAAGGUCUAUGUUGGGUUAAGAUUUGUUAUUCUGGAUUCAUUAAAUUCCUUUUUAUUUUUUUUUUAACACCUUUUCUAACCUUUUAACCAGCAGAAUAUCCCCUUUUGCAUCAAAACUAAAGCUGUCAAUUGAAAUACAGCACCCCAGAAGCCAAUGCCUUGGCAAUAUACCACUGCUUAUGGAAACAGCUCAGCAUUGCUACAAAAUGUUAAAUGAGAAUGAACAAGUUACUUCUUGGUUUUGUGAGAAUACACUGCAGAAGCGGGUUGUUGUCACCUGUGCAUUGUUAUUUUUAUUUUAAUUUGCCAAUUAACACAAACUAAUUUCCCAUUUUAGCUAAAAAAUAUUACUCCGUAAAAAAAAAAGUGUUGCCUAGAUUAGCUAACAUUAUAUUUAUUAAUUUUAAACACAUAUUACACUUUUUAAUUUCAAGACAAAGUCAAAGUUUUUCCACUCACAGUUGCACAAUGGGUAGAUUUGAGUAAUUUCAAAAGUGAAAGUAAAUCUGUAUUUUUAUGAGAAGGAAAAAUACAUAUAUUAGAAAAUAAUAUAUGGGAGUCAGAUUCUUUGUGAAUAAAGUGUAUACCAUUGACUAAAUUUUGAACUGUGAACAUUCACUUUGACUUUUUAGUGCAUAAACCUGUGUAUUAUUAAUACUUUAUGAAUUAUUAAAAAUUAUUAUUCCAGGAUUGUCUUUAUUUUGUGUGUUGAUUAAUUUUAAUGAGAAGUGCCCCUUCUUUUAUAGGGAAUCAGGCUCACAUAAUUUUAUUAAACAGUCACAAGAAUACCUUCUAUACACAAUGUCCCUUUUAUCCUGUCAUACAUCUUUAAUUGGCGCGUUAAGAACUGAGAGUGAAAAUGUGUGUUUUUUUAAGGAUAUCAUUGCACAAAAUAAAAUAAGGGGUUGUAAGGCGGACAGCAAAAUAUUCUUGCACACAGGUUACAAUAAGAUUAGUAUUUUAUUUUGAAAUAAUUUUCUAAUUUUAUCUACAUUUGAAUUAAUAAACAGCUGCACGUUUGGUUUUCUUACCUAGCUGUGCGGGAAAACUGCUUGUUACAUUUAAAUAUAAAUUUAUAUAUAAUAUAUUCCAUGUGUGUAAAUCAUAGCAAAUUUAAAAUGCACAAAUCUAUAGUAAUGUUGCAAGGUGCCCAGAAGUGGUGCAUGAUAAAUAAAAUCUUGAUACUUUGAAUAGAUUGCAUAAAGAAAGUAUUUAGUGAUUAAUGUCCACUUAUCUAAGCUUUCACUAGAUUAGUGGAUUUUAAUCUUUUUUGACAGGGACGCAAAAUAUGUGCCUGUUUCCCAAUAUCAAAGAUGGGGGAGACAGUGCUGCUACAUUAUUUGGUUUAGUGCGUGCUACUGCCCUAUUAAUGUAGUGUUCCUUUUUCAGCCAGUCUGAUCAUAUUCUAGGGUCUAAGAAUCAAGGAUUUUUUUACCAUAAGCAAAAUGUCACACUGUAUUAUAGAACAUUCAUAAAAUUGUUUGAAUUUUGCAUUUAGGUGGAGGCUGCUUCCUUCAGUGGCCUUGCCCAAAAGGCGGCGGUGAGACUGCCAAGGAUGACACCAUUUUGGAGGGGACUGUCCUUGCGUCCUAUAGGUGCUUCAUGCAGAGAUCCCUCAGAAUGCCUCACACGACUGUGCAAGUAAUUAUCUCACAAUAAAUACAAUCCCUUUAAAACUUGUUAUCACACAAGCACCUUUUGUUUAACUCCUUCACCUUGGUUCUUGUGUAUACACGGUUUGCAUAAAUGCAAGUGAAAUUUAUUUGCAAACAAAUUUAGUCUGAAAAUUAUGCUUUUCAUAACUCCUGAAAUUCACAGCAUAGUGACACUAACAGCUGUCACGCUCUAAUUUUUAAGAAAGCUGAGAGCUGUAGCCUUUAUCCUCCAGCCACCCUCCCACCAAGAGGAGAAGCCAAUCGGAGGGUUGCUGAUGCUGGCAUGGAGUUCAGAGCUGACGGAAGACAAAGGGCACAGUGUAAGUGUGCUCUAACUCCUGUCAGCAGGCAGCACUCUCUUCCCUGCUCCAUUACGAUGUCAAGCUGCACAUCAUAAUGGAGCAGGGAAGCAGCUUGAUGGCUGCUGUCAAGCAUUACAGCACAUGCCCAUGAAUGUGUAUAUGUGUGUGUGUUUCAGAGUGUGUAUAUACGUGCAUGUAUUAGUAUGUGUAUGUCAAAAGAAGCUGCAUGGCUGCAGAAAGGGUGAUAUCAGCAAAGUCAUGGCAAUGUGACUACAUAUAUCAUAAUUAUACAAUACGUAUAUUUAUUUACAACACUGUUUCCUUGCUUGUUACUUAAAUAUUUUAUACUUAAGUUUUUCUGUCCAACCAAAAUUUGUAUUUUUGUUUCUAUUUAAUAAUGUGCUAUCUACGGGAGAUGUGCUGGCGGGAGAUUUAAUUAUUAUUCACGGUAACAUAUUUAAUUAAAUUAUUUUUAUAUAGUUUCCUCAUACUGAUCUCUUUCUAUAGAUAGGUUAUGAUACAGUCUUCUAAAAAUGUCCUGUUUGUUUUUAAUUUCAGAAACAAUCGCUGCUCUUUGCAGACGUUUGCUGAUUGAGCAAAGUUAAUUUUGGUCAAAUCUUUUUGCCCACUUAUCUGAUGUGAAAAAAAUGAAAAAAAUACGAGGAGAGGCGUCCUGGGCAAAUAUACUAACUCAUGCUAUUUAUUAAAAAAAAGAACUUUUAUAUGUCAUAUUUGUGUUAUAUGUAUUUUUGCUGGUGUAUAGGUGUUAAUACUAUGUGUUUGCUGCAUGGAAACAGGGAACUGUUUUUCAAACAAUCAAAUGUCCAUCCAGUCAAUACUGUGAAUGGGGAGGUUAAUAUAUUUACUACUGCUACAAACCUAUAACUAUCAUUGAGCUCGGUAAUAACAUCAUCUAUACUCCAGGACAUACUUGAAAUUUUAUGAAUGCUAAACCUAUUCUUUCUGGUUAAAUAACCAAUAUUAUUUCUGUUAUUUGUUAAAGGCAUGAAUAUUUAUUUUCAUGUCUUAUGCACGCCCUUGUAUUCUUACAUAAAUCAGUUGACUAUAAAAAU